rnacentral:rRNA from 1 species
GAUGAACGCUAGCGGCAGGCUUAAUACAUGCAAGUCGAACGGUAACAGGUCUUCGGACGCUGACGAGUGGCGCACGGGUGAGGAACACGUACACAAUCUACCUUAUACUGGAGAAUAGCCCCGGGAAACUGGGAUUAAUACUCCAUAGUCUUUAAUGAUCACAUGAGAAAUAAAGUAAAGCUUCGGCGGUAUAAGAUGAGUGUGCGUCCCAUUAGAUUGUUGGUGAGGUAACGGCUCACCAAGUCGACGAUGGGUAGCUGGCGUGAGAGCGCGACCAGCCACACUGGCACUGAGACACGGGCCAGACUCCUACGGGAGGCAGCAGCAGGGAAUAUUGGUCAAUGGACGAAAGUCUGAACCAGCCAUGCCGCGUGGAGGAUGACUGCCCUCUGGGUUGUAAACUCCUUUUAUAUGGGAAGAAACCUCUGGAUUCACUCCAGAGCUGACGGUAUCAUAUGAAUAAGCACCGGCUAACUCCG